GGCGUUAGGACGAACGCUGGCGGCCGUGCCUAAUACAUGCAAGUCGAACGGUCUUUCUAUGGAAGCUUGCUCCACUGAGAAGAUAGUGGCGAACGGGUGAGUAACACGUGGGUAACCUGCCCAUAAGAGGGGGAUAACAUCCGGAAACGGGUGCUAAUACCGCAUAGUUUUCUUGAUCGCAUGAUCGGGAAAGGAAAGACGGCCUUUGUGCUGUCGCUUAUGGAUGGACCCGCGGCGUAUUAGUUAGUUGGUGAGGUAAUGGCUCACCAAGACGAUGAUACGUAGCCGACCUGAGAGGGUGAUCGGCCACAUUGGGACUGAGACACGGCCCAAACUCCUACGGGAGGCAGCAGUAGGGAAUCUUCCGCAAUGGACGAAAGUCUGACGGAGCAACGCCGCGUGAGUGAAAGAAGGUUUUCGGAUCGUAAAACUCUGUUGUCAGAGAAGAACAAGUUGGAGAGUAACUGCUCCAGCCUUGACGGUAUCUGACCAGAAAGCCACGGCUAACUACGUGCCAGCCGCCGC
rnacentral:rRNA from 1 species